CCUACGGGAGGCAGCAGUGAGGAAUAUUGGUCAAUGGGCGCGAGCCUGAACCAGCCAAGUCGCGUGAGGGAAGACGGUCCUAUGGAUUGUAAACCGCGUUUGUCGGGGAGCAAAGGACGCCACGCGUGGCGUUCCGAGAGUACCCGAAGAAAAAGCAGCGGCUAACUCCGUGCCAGCAGCCGCGGUAAUACGGAGGAGGCGAGCGUUAUCCGGAUUUAUUGGGGUGAAAGGGGGCGCAGGCGGAAGAUCAAGUCAGCGGGAAAAUUGAGAGGCUCAACCUCUUCGAGCCGUGGAAACUGGUUUUCUUGAGUGAGCGCGCAGUAUGCGGCCUGCGUGGUGUAGCGGUGACAUGCCUAGAUCUCACGCAGAACUCCGAUUGCG
rnacentral:rRNA from 1 species